UACGUAGGGUGCAAGCGUUGUCCGGAAUUAUUGGGCGUAAAGCGCGUGUAGGCGGCUUUGCAAGUCGGGUGUGAAAGCCCUCGGCUCAACUGAGGAAGUGCACCCGAAACUGGCGAGCUUGAGUACGAAAGAGGAUCGCGGAAUUCCCGGUGUAGAGGUGAAAUUCGUAGAUAUCGGGAAGGAACACCGGUGGCGAAGGCGGCGAUCUGGGUCGAUACUGACGCGUGAGGUGCGAAAGCGUGGGAGCGAACAGG
rnacentral:rRNA from 1 species